UACGAAGGGGGCUAGCGUUGCUCGGAAUCACUGGGCGUAAAGGGUGCGUAGGCGGGUCUUUAAGUCAGGGGUGAAAUCCUGGAGCUCAACUCCAGAACUGCCUUUGAUACUGAAGAUCUUGAGUUCGGGAGAGGUUAGCGGAACUCCGAGUGUAGAGGUGAAAUUCGUAGAUAUUCGGAAGAACACCAGUGGCGAAGGCGGCUAACUGGCCCAUUACUGACGCUGAGGCUCGAAAGCGUGGGGAGCAAACAGGA
rnacentral:rRNA from 1 species